AGCGAUGGGAAAUCAGUUCACCGCCAACAAUUAAACAGAAAAGUUCCACAAAGCCAAGCUAUAAAAAUAAUAAACGAAAUUAUGCAGCCAGAUAUGGAAGCUCCUAAACAAGAAAAUCGUAAAUUUGUCUUCUGUGGCCUGCGUAAGGAUCCCCAGGAAAACCAUGAACAUUGUGGACACCACGGCCAUCAUUGGCAUCAUGGGCAUCAUGGAUUUCAUGGACACCAUGGUCACCAUGGACAUCAUGAACAUCAUGGUCAUCAUGGACACUAUUGGCACCAUUUCGGACAUCGCUGGAAUCACCCAGCAUACCAACACCAUCAUGGUGCCCCUCCAUUUUGCUCCCAUCAUCACCGCAACCGCGAGCCGCCAAAAUAUUUUGGACCCACCCUCAUAAAGAGCAAUGGAUUCAGUCUUUACUAUUAUGAUACAAUGAAAUCCUAAAUGAAUGAAAUUGCACCCAGAUAAAGAGAUGCCACAAAACUUAAUGAUG
ensembl:ncRNA lncRNA:CR44138 long non-coding RNA:CR44138